AUUCCAGCUCCAAUAGCGUAUAUUAAAGUUGUUGCAGUUAAAAAGCUCGUAGUUGGAUCUCUGGCGGGAGCGGCCGGUCCGCCCCUCACGGGGUGUGCACUGAACCGCCUCCUGUCAUCCUCGUCGAGAGCGGCCCUGUCAUUAAGUUGGCGGGGUCGGGAUCGGCGUCGUUUACUGUGAAAAAAUUAGAGUGUUUAAAGCAGGCAUUUGCUGUGAAUACAUUAGCAUGGAAUAAUAAGAUAGGGCUUUGGCGCUAUUUUGUUGGUUUGCACGCCAAGGUAAUGAUUAACAGGGACAGUUGGGGGUAUUCGUAUUUAAUUGUCAGAGGUGAAAUUCUUGGAUUUAUGAAAGACGAACCACUGCGAAAGCAUUUACCAAGGAUGUUUUCAUUG
rnacentral:rRNA from 1 species